GACAUAGGUGGCAAACGUUAUCCGGAAUUAUUGGGCGUAAAGGGUGCGUAGGUGGUUUAAUAAGUUACUGGUGGCAAAUCGGGGCCCAACCCCGUGGAAGUCAGUAAUACUAUCGAACUAGAGGGUCGGAGAGGUUAACGGAACUCCAUGUGUAGCGGUAAAAUGCUCAAAUAUAUGGAUGAACACCAAUCGGCGAAGGCAGUUAACUAUUCGAUUCCUGACGUUGAGGCACGAAAGCGUGGGGAGCAAGACGG
rnacentral:rRNA from 1 species